rnacentral:lncRNA from 1 species
CUCUUUGGCUCCUCAGCAUCUACAAAUCUGAAGGACAAAACAUGGUUCAAGCAUCUGGGCACAGGCGGUCCACCCGUGGCUCCAAAAUGGUCUCCUGGUCCGUGAUAGCAAAGAUCCAGGAAAUAUGGUGCGAGGAAGAUGAGAGGAAGAUGGCGCGAGAGUUCCUGGCCGAGUUCAUGAGCACAUAUGUCAUGAUGAACAUACAUAUGAUAGUUGAGAAAGACACAUAUUCUGAUCAUGAAGAAAUAAACACAAGUUAAAUAUGACUAAGCAGAAAGAUGGAAGGACCAGGAAUGGUGAUGCUAACUUGGAACCACGAUGCAGGCUCUAAACUCCUCUACAAUCAUCCUCCCUUGUGAGAAAAAUACAUAAGAUCUAAGGCACAUGAGAUGAUAUGCUUUCUGUUUGAGUUUCUCCUUUAUGUUACGCAUACUGAUAAAAUUGUUGAUGCCAGUUGAUCUGAAGGUCCCAGCAAGGAGCCGACUCACAGAAGAAUGCAGUUUUCACAUCAUGAUGAUUUAAUCUUCCUUGACCUGAGCAAUUGACAACCCCAAUUCUCCAGAACCUCACCCGCCACAAUCCCCUUAAAAACCCUGGCCCAGAACCCCUCAAGCAGACAGAUGUGAAGCUUGAGGAUUCCUUCAUCUCUUUGCCCAAUGGCAUUGUGAUUAUUAAACUCUUUUUCUGCUGCAAAUUAUGAUGUC